ACCUAGGUCAGUAAAAGAUGUCGAAGAAAGCCAUGUGUCUCAUUGCCACAAUUUCUACGAAAUGGUCGGAAAUAUGGGACUAAAAUUGGCAGCGAUCUGUUAUGGAAUGAAUUUGCCAGGAAACGGGUGGUGAGAGAUUUGCUCCAGCAGUAAAGGCGUCUUCCUUCUCAACCAAUGUAAGGAUAUUUUGGCAGUGACUCAACCGUGCACGAGGAGAUAGAAUCCGUUCUCCAUCAAUGACGUCAGACUCGUGUUCCACAGCGGCUGCAUCCAUGUCAAGAUUACAUGUAGCAUGUCAGAGUUCGUCUGCUAGUAAAUUUGCAGAGUUGAAACUUAAUAUGAAGUGUAAUGUUUGCUUUUGGUUGUGAAUCGACUGUAGUUAUUUUCAAACUAUCACCAAGUAGUGUUCAGGAAGAGUACUUUGCUACACGUACAUGUAGUAGUGGUUUAUUUCCGUGUAGGUGUGGCAACAUAAACAACAAGCGCAUGUAGGACGAUCGGUUUUCUUUUUGUUCGUAACAUAUUUGUGAGGGCAAAUCUGCAAUUUGGCAUUUCUCCGUGAACAAUUAUUUAUUUAAAAUUGAAUUCUAGUAUUUAUUUUGGUGAUGUUAACUUUGGAAAGAAAGACAACGUACCAACGGUGCAAAAUGCAUUUAUGGAAGUCUUUGGAAGUUAUAGUGUGUGUUCAGUUGAAGAAAAAAAGAACGAGAUGUGCAUCCACCGAAAAUUAAUAAAUCGCUGUAAUUUAAAUAAUUAUUUUUCAGAAAUUGCAGCACUAUCAAACUGGCAGAAUGCGUCAUUAGUAUUGCAGAGCUGUCCACACGCAUUGAAACAAUCUUUCUUUAGUUUAAAUGUCCGAUUGUGACGCAUAUAAAAUAAACUUCACGUUUCAGUGAUGGGAGGGGUCAAAUGUCUCCCUGGUUUUAGCAACGAAACCAAGGAGUUGAAAUUUUCCCGAAAUUAAUAUACAUUUGUUAUUGCAGUAGUGGUAGGUCACAAAGGAAAAUCGUUGUAUUACAGAAGAUGUUUUAUUUCGGAAUAUUAUCUUCAUUAAAGGGUCCAUAUAGGACUGACAUUCAUCAGAAAAUUUUACACACUGAAUUUUCGACAAAUUCUUGACAAAGUCAAAUAAAUCAUUUUAGCUGCCUUUUUUUUUUUUUUUUUUUGAAAAUGAGUACUCGAUGAAGGUUUUAAGAUUGCCAAUUUCUGUCAGUAUACCCAACAAAGAAUGUGAUACAAUUUUUAAAAAGCCAAAUUGACAUUUUUCGUAAAUUUACUUAAAUUUUGGCUAGCAGUUUUUUAGCCAAUUCUUUGAAAAACCAUCGAAUUAUCGUACAAAAUUACUUUUUAAUUGUAUUUUGCUUCUUUAAACAAAAAAUGAAUGAUUGUAAUUCUCUCAGUAUAAGAUAUUUAUACAAAAGUGUGUAGAUCAACGCUCUGUUAAAGGUUGGCCAUGUGCCUUGUAUUUUUUUAGUUGACUUUUUGGUCGCAAUCAAAGAGUGAUUGAAGAAUAACUCCUUAUCGGAUGUCAGUCUUGCAUGUCCUGUCGACUUAUAAUGCUGAAUGUCACUUGAUCACUGAACACUGGAGACCAGUCUUAAGUUUAUUAGCAUUGUCUUAGUAAAUGUGCAUUUGCAUAAUCUUUUUUUCCGUUCUUCUUUGCACAUUAUUCUUUAAAAUAGCUAUGGUUGAAAUAAGCUUGUAAGUUGGUCAUGUCAUUAUGACGUUCCUGAUUCGCAUGCUGUACAAAUUUCAGUUUUCGCUCAAAGUUGUGCCAUGAAAUGCAUAUUUAAGCAAUUCGUAUGAAAAAA
rnacentral:lncRNA from 1 species